CGGGGUGUGGCGCAGCUUGGUAGCGCGCUUCGUUCGGGACGAAGAUGUCGUGGGUUCAAAUCCCGCCACCCCGA
rnacentral:tRNA from 1 species